GCAGGUUUUGCCGGCCGUCCCUUCGGACGUCGUUGGGGACGGUUUAGCUCCUCAGCCUUUCCAGGUGGCGCACAAACUGCUGUUUUGCCGUAUCGGAAAUCUGACAUCCUGCACUGCCCGGAUUUCAUUUGAAUUCCCUCCCACUCGAGAGGCCAACACGGGGUCACUUGAUCUGGGACCAGGACGGAAAUCAAACAGCCUGGCUUCAGGGGGAGACCUCCCCCCCACUCCUCCCCUGGACUGCCGCAUUGGAAGUCCAUCACCGGGUCACAGCCUCAAUCCGUCACUGUCGGCUGCAGCUAUCAAGAGCAGGUCCAAGGAGGGGACGGGAGUGACUCAGGACUGCGGCGCUCCAGUUCAGUCUUCGGGGUCGGACGCUUGAUGAAUCUGUUGUUGUAUUUUUUAUUUUUUUUCUCCUCGUCCAGUGCCCUCAUUAAAUCUACACCAGCCGCACGGCAGAUGAUGCGGUUUGAAGAUGAGUUGCUUUGAAACAAACAGCAUGUGAACUGCAAAUCAAUUUUCAAGCACAAGUUUGUUAUAUUUUCAUUACAUGAAUUUUGAUGCGAUUUGAAAUGCAAAUAUAUGGCCUGUUCUUCCUGGUACACAACAAGACUAAAUCUUUGCCAAGACCGGCAAUCAAACAGCUUAGUGCACUAAAAAAGAUCCCCCCCGGCCUCCCUCCCUCCCUCCUCCACUAUCUGCAGUGAAGGUCCAGGUUAUAACCUCAAUCCCUCACUCUGAGGUUGGAGACGGACUGUGUUCACUUUCCAUUUAGCCACCUCUUAUGUGCUCUGAAUUCAGACUGAGAUUGCAUACCAGGAACCUUGAAGUCUUUGAGUUAAUCCAGAGUGAAUAUAGACCUUUGAAUAUAUUUUUUCUCACCUGGCAUCCGCUUGAAACUACAUUCCGAUUUUCUGGCAGGAGUCUGUAACUUUGUACAUGCCGUAAAUCAAUGGUCUGUUUUAACCACCCACCACUCCUCUAAUUUAAGGGUUGUGCCAUCACAGAGGAGCACAGCAUUUCAAAUUCUGGCUAUGUUCACAUGUUAUUUUUGCUCUUUAAUAACAACUUUCCGCCCAGGGGUGGGAUUAUCUGUGACGAGGGGUGAACCCAGUUACACGGCAGAGAGUCUCCUUUUGGAUUUCACAGCAGACCUUUCUCUAAGGGACGAAGCUUCAAUUUUAACCUGACAGAGGGAUUCAUAUCUUUAUUUUUACCGUGAUUCUUCAGUCUGCCAAUUCCACCUGUAAUCAAAUCUCUUGAAAUGGGCAUUAGAACACUUGACAAGCUCAGUUUAACACACACUGUGACUACAUGUCCUCCUCCACAAAAGUUUUUGCGCUGCCAUAAUCCCAAAACCGACCUUUUAAUCUAAAAAUAACGGGGGCCACAACAGGAUCAAACACAAAAUGCAAAAUGAUCCUGCAGGCUUUGAACUAGUGACCGUUAUUAAAUGAUAACAGCCAGCUAUAAAUACUCAGGACAUUGAAUCUGUGGAAGGCAAUAACUUUGUGAAGGCUGUUGGAAGUCUAAAUUUAAUCCAACCUGCCCCCUACGCUCCUCUUGUUUUCUCACCCUGAGUAGAUGCUGUUUAAGUGUGAUGAUCUUUGCCAACGGGAAGGAGAAAAAAAAAAAAAAUCACACCAAACCGGCCGCAAUUGACUGCUUUGACAUGAGCAGACAUAUUAGAACAAGGAGAGAAACGCGAGGUUGUGAGUCACACUGAAAAGCACCUCGACACAACUACAGACGAUUGUACAAUUAAAAGUCUCAAAAGUUUCCGAGCUUUUUAAUUAACAUUAUUACUGGCUUGAGUUGGGACUGUAGCCUCGACUGGAGCUGGACGGUUUGCUAUCAGAGAGCGAUUUAAAGGACCCAUCAUAUGCCCAUUUUACCACAAGUUGAUAUGGUCCCUUGAGGUCUUAAUGAAAUGUCUGUAACAUACUUUCGGCAAAAUACCACAAGGAUCCUUAAAAACAGCACCCUGACUAAAACUAAAGCCCUCCACAGAGUGACCCGUUUUGAGUGGCUGUUCCUUUAAAUGCUGAUGAGCCGGCUCUCCGCUCUUCAGGGGCCAUGUGAGAGAGACUCCCAUUUCAUUGUGAUGACAGAAUGAUAUGGAAGUUCAUUCGCAGUCACUCAAGCAUGACAUUUCUGACUUACAAGAACCAUAACAAAUCACGGGAGUUGUUGUUUUUUCCCCCCAGAGUUUUGGGGUCGGUAGACAUGCCAAGAUAACCAAAUUAACAUGUAGAAGCACUAAAGAAGUGGAAUUUUUAUAAUAUGCCCUUUAACGUUGGAGUUCAAAAUCCCAAAGUGGUGCCUUUGUGAUUUACUUAGGGGGAUGGCAAAUGAGGAGGCCGGUCUGUCAUGAGGUGGCAGACUCAUAACUCACCAUUCCCCGGUGCUCCCCAGGAGAAAAAAGUGCCAGUUUUGUCAAGCGCUACAGAGACCCCGUGCAGACGGACUCUAGUUUGCCCCGUCUCCGGAUAGCCCUAUCGUGCAGACGAACGCACUGUAUCCGCACACUGUAUCCGCACUCCCUCGAAUCGGGGGUCCAAAGUGAGUAAACUCAAAAUCCGAUUGCUGUUGGUGUUCGUCUGCACGCUAUCCGCAUAAUCGGACUGCCCCACGUGAUUGCAUCACGUGAUUGCAUGCAACCUCACGCUGAACCCUUAUUAACCCCAAUGCGUCACUUCAUAACAACGACAACAAUGGCGAACGCAAGGAUAAUGUGCCUGCUGAAUGUGCUAACAAGUCUACAAUGCGUACUACGGGAAUAUCGUCAGAUCUUUUCGUUUGUAUACGGCGCGCAUGUCUUAUACGCAUGCUCCUGUCUUCUCCUUCCGUUUUCUUCAGUUGUCUGUAGCACCUUAAAGCGCCACCAACAGGCGUGGGGGAUGUACUACAGCGGAGUCAAUCGGAUUCACUGGGUUCAUGUGCACGCAAAGUGGGUAGGUGUGAAAAAUGAACCCGGGUUCAGGCAAACUAGAGUCCGUCUGCAUGGGGUCAGAGUUGGAGAAACCCCUUUGCAACGGGCAUCUUGGAUCCAUCGGGACAGGUCACAUUCUAUUCAUACAUUUCCAAAGCUUCUUAAAGCUUGAGAUGUUGUUCAAGAGGAUUCACUUUCACUCCACUACCCCCCCCCACCGCGCCAAGAGCUUCUGGAUCCUUUACAUCUGAGACUUAAAGGUUGGGGAAACAAAGGGUCUUCUAGUGUGUCAUUGUUCAUUAUCUGACUUUCCAGGGAGAGUCAUUUACUGCAUACUGAUGUAGGGCCCAAAGUCCAAAGGCAACAGAUGUAUCAUAUCCCAUCAAAAACCAGUAAUAAUUGGCCUCAAAAACACAGUAUAAAACAGGCGAUCCUUGGUCCGAAACACCAGAGGUGAAGUUAGUUGCAGUUCCAACGUGAUUGAUACUUUCGAUAUUCUUAAAGGAUUUGCAGUCUUAAAGCUUUUGUAGCAGCAAAGUCUUGAUGCUCAUUACAGACAGCAGCAGAGCCAGAAAGAUAUCUGCCACUGGUACUUUUGGGGGCUUUUGUGCUUAUAGUAUUUAUUUUUGUGGUUUUUACAGCAGUGUGAAGGCAGGCUUGUAAUGUUGCUCCAAUUAUAUGGUCCGCCCAAAGGGAAGAGCAACGAGGCUUGCUUGAGCAUCUGCUGCUUUUUGAUGCAGUUGCUGACCUCACACUGUCUCCCCCUCUGGUGGAUUAUUUAUCAUUAAAAUAUACAGCAAAACAAAAUUCCAAGAUUAGCGCUUUCAACUAUGCAACAAUGACAUACGCACCAGUAUAACAGUUUACGUAACUGUAACGUGCCAUUUGCAGUCGGAGCUCUUCAACGAUCCCCGCUGGAAUGGGAAACCAACGCCGCGCAUGCUGUCGGAGACCCAGAGAACCAGGGAAGAGGGACAAAGGAGAACCAGAAGCAGUACUGCACUGAUUAAACUAUUAGACCCUUGUUGAAGAAAAUGCAAGGUUUUUUAGUCAUGUAGUUUGAAUUGAAAUGUUAUUUUAAAAAGAGAGAGGACCAGACACAAACUCAGAAUCAUCUAUGGAAUCAAGCAGAAGAUAUUGAGAGGAUGAGUAUUUAUAAAAUGGGUCACAGCCACUAUCCACAGUGUCAGUAUGAAGUGAGUCAUGAUGGGACCGGAUGAAGCCACAAAAGAACACACAUUAGGACAGGAAGGAAAAAUGAUCUCAUCUGUGGUUUACCAAUACUUAAAGCGCUUCUAAACAGUGAACGGUAAACAAGUGUGAAACACUCAUAACUCAAAAUAGCUUUCAACGGAUCAUCAGUUUAAAAUGAAAAUAACAUGAUCCCCUUACAUCUCAUGAUAGAUUGAAGGUUUGAGACUUAAUUUCCGUAAACGUUGUGCUGUCCAACUUUUCGAAUUGAAAAUGCAUGAAAAGAGAAGUUCCAAGUCCCUGUCUUUGUCAUUGGAUUGUGGAUUGAUAUAAUAAUCCCUGAACUUGGAGCAGGUUUUCAGAUCCCCUGUCUGACUCACUGUGAAGUCAAGACAGGUAUUGCCUCAGAAAUUCAGUAAAAAGAGACACUUGAUCCUUCGGUGUCAGCGGAAAUGUUGUAGUGCUUAAGGCAUCCCAAAUUCUUUGAUUUGACAGCUGAAUGUGUUCCCUUUCAAUCCUGUGUCUCUGAUAUUCCUAUUUGUAUUAGUGACAUUUUACCCUGGUAUCAAACUCUUUCCAAGUGUCAUUCAUACGGAAGUUUGUUAUGGGUUUUCAUUGUUCUAUCUUUUGACCUUUUAAGAUUUACAUAUUGCGUCAUUUAAAAUUAAAAAUGACAAGGACCGUGGUUCUGUAGCAGAAUUCCCAAGCACUAUGCAGGCCCAACCUUAUUUCCACUCAGUAUACAUUAUGCAAUCAAAUAGACCGGAAUAUGUUAAUGAAGCCGACUGCAUUCCAGCGUGGGUCUCCUGCCUGGGCAAACAAACAUCUGCUAGUCGGCUGAAAAGGGAAAGAGACGGUCAACAAGAAAGAUAUUCAGGCUUGGCAGGUCUCGGCCCAGAGGAUUUUUUUUUCAGCGCGGUCCUCUGGCUGAAUCACAAAAUAAAUCCGUCUUGUAUCCAGAUGGGAGAGAAGGCCAUUACAGUGGCUGCAUGGUACACAGUGCUCCUCCUGACCUAAACAACCCCAUUUGCUUAACAGAAAAAUGAGCACAAGAACAUACAGAGCUACCCAAUUUUGUACUGUAGACCUUAAAAAAGAAUUCUUUUUUUCAUGUAAUCUCUAGCCGUAAUAAUAAUAAUACCAAGGUAUUGAGAUUUGUAUAGUAAACUGGAACAAGAUGUGCAGAGCAAUGGUCUAGCAGCGGCUUUUAGCAUUUAGCCAGUGGCGGCUGGUGGACUUUUAUUUGGUAGGGCCAGACAAUCAGUUUCAGUAAACAUCGCAGGAUGAUUCAAUGCAAAAAAAUGGGUAUCAAAGACGCAUUAUUACUUUGCAGUUAAAUAUUUAAGAUUUAUUCCAACAGUUUAUUGGCCUCGACGGACCAGCCGCCACUGCAUUUAGCCAAUGCUAUGCUAACAUGCAGAUGGCUGUGUUCACCUUGUUAUAUUAGAUGUGGAUGUAGACACAGUGACGACAUACAUUGCUUCUUGCAUGUUUUGAUUCCUCAAGCUCUGCAUUUUGUUCAUGUCCAUAAACCGAGAUGCGGAUGAUGAUCUUUUUUUUUUUUUUCUUGCAUACCGAAGCGACACAAGGGAGCUAAGCUUAGAACAACCAAACGUGGAAUAUGGCAGUUUUAGUUGUUGACAUGACAACAGCAUGGUAGCAACCCACCAAUCAUAAUCGAGUCAUCUGGUUAGAAUCAUUUGCCAUUUAGAGCUGGUGGGAAUAUCAAUAUGCUUGGCAGAUUUGUUCAGAAUCAAGACCUCAUAAACGUUUCAUUUCACAGCAAUCCAUCCUAUAUUUGUUUGAGAUACGUCAGUGAAAGAGAUUUUUAUGCAUACUUAUGAAAUAUACAGCACACCCUGGUAGUCUGGAUAAAUUGUAUUGUGAAACAACAUUUCCCCAAAUGUUAUUUGGUGGAGAGGUUCGUGCAGUUCGUGCAGGGGCAUUGUCAUAGUUUUAAUGCUGAACAACCUCAAGUAAUUGGACAAACAGAUUAUUGCCUCACUAUUUGCAUUGAGUUGCAUUAAAAAGAAAGAAAAAAUC
ensembl:lncRNA